AAGCUAUGGGGACACUCCGCCAUUUUGUGUGGGGCUGUGGGGUCAGUCUGCCUAUUUAUGUCAGGCUGUGCAGGCAGACUGCCAUUUUGUGUCAGGCUAUGGGGACACUCCGCCAUUUUGUGUGGGGCUGUGGGGUCAGCCCACCAUUUUGUGUGGAGCUGUGGGACACUCUGCCAUUUGUCUAAGUCUGUGCUCUCACUCCGCCAUUUUGUGUCAGGCUGUGGGGUCAGACCGCCAUUUUGUGUGAGGCUGUGGAAUACUCCACCAUUUUGUGUCAGGCUGUGAGACAUUCUCUGCUUUUGUGUCAGGCUGUGGGACACACCUCCAUUUUGUAGGAGCCCUGGCCUGGAGGAUUGGGUGGCUCAAGGGGCCCAGCAGAGCUCUCCAGCUGAUCCCAGCGCUGCUGAAGCCGUCGCUGCCUCAGCUGGGUGGAGCCGUGACUCCAGCUUUUUCUGUCAUGUCCUGAGUUAUUCAACUUGAGCACUCUCAAAAUUGACAUAUCUGGAUUUCCUGCCAAAAUGCUUCUGGGGCCAGGAGUUUGCAGCUUGUGUUUGCCCUGUGGAAGCAGGGAGGAGUUCCCAGGCAGGGUCUGACUCCAUGCUGGAACAACACCAAGGUGGGGAAGUCAGAUCCCCUGAAACUGGGAUGCACAAUUUUUUCAGAAUGAGCCUUGUCUAAAGCUAAGUUUAGAACAUCAGAUGACUCUUAGCAGAUGUGAAAUGCUUCUGGAAGCCAAACAGUAGUUCUGUUCAUACUCUCUGGACCACCCUGUUUGUCCAUCAUGGCUGUGCCACCCUGCACUGCAGUGGUCUUCUCACCCAGGAGAGCCUGACCCUGGCCAAGAGGAUCAAGAAGCUCUGAAGAGCCUGAUCCAGGGGACACAGGGAGCCUUCAGGCCUCUGUCACCUUCCAGCUCAGCUGCCUCAGGAGUGAAAUCAAAUAAAGCAGAUUUUUCUUCAGACAAGUUCCUUUCAGUGGAGCAGAACCAAGAACGUGCACAUCUGAUCCCCACGUGCUGACCCAAAGCAAUGAUGUUGCCUGGCUAGUGGAAAAGGAUGAAAUGGUCCCCAGGACCUGUCCCUGCUCUCCGUGGGUCCUUCUGCACCAGCAAACUCCAGAGGGCGCCUGAGUCCAGAGCUCUGGAGUGCAAUCAGCUCUUUGUAAGAGUGACUGAAAGAAGGCAGAGAACAAACACUGCCAGUUCCCCUCACUGUCAUCAACACUGAAGUACUUUGCUGAAGCAACAUGUUAAGAGGCUGGGACUGGACAUUUAAAGACUUAAAAGUUACUGAGUUUUCUGCCCAAGUUGAUGUGGGAAAAGAUGUAGAAGAUAAUUCUGGUGUCUCACAUGUUCUCAAGAGCUCAGUAAGAGAUGGAAAAACUUCAGAAAUAGAAAUCUAAAAUGAGGUUCAGUGCCCAGUGCUGCAGUAUUGCCUUGGAGAUGCCUCCUUUUGGCUUUUGUGCCUUGUUUCAUGGGGAGCCUCUCAACAGAGUGGAUUUAACUUGGGGUGAUCCUCUGAGCUUCCCUCCCAGCCUGGUGCUCCAUGGAGGUGGGCUGGGCUAAGGGAUUACAGCAAACUGUAUUGAGCUUCCAGAGCAAGGAGAGAAAGGCAGCAGGUGGGAGGCUGCACCAUGUGGAACCCGGAAUAUCUGGUUCAGUGCUGUGCCUGUCUCCCAUUUAUACUCAAAACAUCAGCUUUUCUUGGAGAACAUUUGGUAAAAUCUCCCUUCAUUGCUUUAAGCCAAUUCCCAUGAGGAAACUACUGCUUCAGAUCCAUGUGAAAUUAUUCAGAUUAGAGAAAAACAAAGUUGUCAACAUUUGUGUGCAGAACAAAAUACUGCAUUGCAAUUAUAACUGUGGGACAAGGCAAAUUCCAACAGCAACGAAUACAUUGUCAUUCUAAUAUUUUCCCCAGCAUUUCCAGUUUUAAUAGAGUAUUCUCUGGUCCAGAAGACUAAUUUCUUUUGUAAGAAAAAUUAUUAAUGUUACUGAAUUCAGUCACCAGGUCUGUCUUACCACAGCAGAUGAAUGCUUGUCAUGGAAGUACAAAACAUGGCUGACAAAAACAAGAUCUUGAUUUGUGUCCCCAUUUCAACAGCUGUAAGUCAAUGUGAUAUUGUAAAAAAAAGGUGAGAGAACAGCCUUUCUAAUGAUAGGGUUAAGGGUUAUUUAGGGAAAAAAAUCGAGCCAAACAACUACGUUUUGUCUCAUGUUUGCAAGUAUAGAAAACAUGUCUGCUGUAAAUCAUAAACCAAACAGCCAGAGUUAUCUGCAGCAACAGGAUCUUUCACAAUCUUCUGAGGCUCCCUGAAUUACAAAUUCUCUGCAGUUGCAUUGUCUUCUGAUUCAAUUGCACAGAUUAAUGUGACCCAUUCCUCUUAUGUGCAUCAGUUUUACUGCAUUGUAUGUAUCAUGAGCAUGGCUUGUGGUGGAAAAGGGAGUUGCACUGCCACAGGAUGAGAGUGAAAAAACAUAAUUGAGAGACAAGUCAUGAACAUCCUUUAUUAUGGCCUAACAGCCAUGCUAAUAGUCUGCCUUCACAUUUAUCCAUAAAAGGCACUUUAAGAAGCAGUGUCUCACAAAAUAAAUCUAAUUUUGACAUUAGGAUGCUGUUAUAACCUACACAGCCUGUAGAUGACAUAAAAUGGUUGUCUGCCAUACACUCAACUGAGAGACACAAACACAGCCCUGACUGGGGGGAGGCAUCAAAAACCAGGGCUUCUAGUGCUGGGCUGACUUUUUGUACCCAGAGGAACAAUAUAUUUCCACCUAAGAGCUGUUCACCUUUGUUUGCAGUAGGGAUAUUAUUAAUAUAUAAAUGGUGACCAGAGAUUUUCACCCAGAUUGUACAUGUGCAGAACUCCAUACAUGAAGCUGGAACAUCUGUCUCCUGGAAAUGUGGCCCAGGAAAGGGAGAGAACCUGUGUAAAUAUGAACCUCACACCUGCACUGCAGAAAGGCACCUUCUACCUGUCCUUCCACCCAACUGUUCCUCACCCAAGGAGUCCUUUUUGUGCUGUUUUCAGUGCUCAUGGAAACAGAAAAACUAAAACUCGUGUGUGAAAUUUCCUUCCAAGGAACUAACUGCAGAUUGCAGUGGUUAUUGGUACUAGUAUCUCAAGUCUAAUCAGGGAAAAUUAGGAGCAAACAUUUACUUUGCAUCCUACAAUCUGUGUUUGGGCUUGAAAACAAUAACUUUUUUUUUCUUUUUGUUACUGAUUUUCAUUUUCUUGAUUUUGUUUUUUGUUUAAAGAAAAUAAUGGGAAAAGGAAAUCCAUCUCAAGAAAGAGAAAAGCUGUCCUGUCACCGUGGGUUUGGAGAAUGAAAGGUGGAGUCCAGGGAAAUCUCUCUCCACUUCCUGAGAGACACCAAGAGGUGCUCCUGUCCUGCUGCUGCUGAAGCCAGUGAAAGAGGUUCCCUUGCUCAGAGGUCAGUGUAAUACCACGAUGAGAAUGAAUGCCUUUAAUAUCUCCCACCUGAUGCAUUGUUGAAGUCCUCCACAGUUCAUGUGCACAGCACAGCUCCCAGAUGAAUUGGGAUGAGCUUGCUGAGCCAGCUGGCAGAGCACGGAGUCACUUUGGCCUAAGGUCUUUCACUGCUGGAAGGAAGGAUGCACAGAAUUCAGAGGCAGGAGGUGCCUGUGUAGAUGGGAUUGUUCUCCCAAAGAGAUUUGGCUGUUCCUGCAGGCUACAGGUGAAGGUGGCAUUGUCCUUCUCCAAUUCCUAACAGCAUCUGGAAGAGUGAAGCCUGGAUGGUUUCACCUCUGUGCCAGGCAGCAGCCCCAGUGGUGAGGCACAGGUAACUGGAGCAAAUCACUGCAAACCCUCCUGGAAGCUCUGCAUGAUGCAUGCACCAGCUCUAAAAAGGGACCAUUAGAAAGACACCUCUUUUAGAAAGUGCUCUUAUAGUGAGUACAACAAAAUUAUUUCUUCAGGUUCCAGUGCAAAAUGGGUGGCUACAAAGCAUGUGCACAGAUUUAUGGAGACACAAUACAAGGAGGGGGGUGGUAAUAAUAACCUUUUUCUGUCACCAGAGAGUCUGCACAAAGAUUCCAGCAGCAUUUUGCACAGUGUGAGAAAAAGUGUGUGAAACCCUCAGCAUCAGUGGAGGUUCAAAGUGAAACAGAAUCAAGCAGAAUAAGGUACCCAUAAAGAAAAUAAAUAGCUGAAUGAUAUUAAGGAAGCCAAGAGAACUGAAAAAAUUAACAGCACCAUGGCUUAUGGAGUCUGCUUCUGCUAACAAAGGCAAUCUUUAGCACCCAGUGUCUCCAUUCAGUCUGAGAAGACUGCACUGACCAAAACAGGGAAAGUACGGGUUUACAAUGGUAAUUUGAAACUUGAAGUCAAGAUCUCUGAGCUCUGAUCCCUCCAUAAAAAGAGAGGCUUCCAGUCUCUGCCAGCAUCCCAGUGCUGGAGGAUGCCUGGCUGCCUGUGGCACAGGGAGCCAGCACGACAUGGACUGUCUGUGGGAAGGCAGGAAGGGAUUUCCUGGGAAGACUCCCCCUUUAGGAGUCUGGCCCUGGCAAGGCUGGGUUUGUGACACUUCCCAUCCCUAAGGGACCAAAGGCACAGGCCCAAAGCCCUCCCAAAGCUACUCAGUCCAAAAUGGAGUGGUGGAUGAAGUCUGCCUUCAGCCUGAAAUAUCCACGGACCUCUAAAAUCAAACCCCAAAGGUUUUGUGUUCAACUCUUGCAUCUCCAUAUGAACUAUAUUCUGGAGACUUUUCCCAUGGAAGUCUCCUGCUUGUAUCUGAGGCUGAAACCAGAUGAGACAAAAGUAUUUAUUUUGCAGGGGUGCUUUUUAUGUUUUUACCAUUCACAGCUACACAUUUGUCUUCAAAAGCAAAGGUCAGUGGGUCACUAAGUCCAGAAUAAUAAAAAACAGAAUUGCAGAAAAGGAGGUUUAGUGAAGAUGAGGGAAAAAAUUAUUAUAUUUGUUUUUAAACUUGUUUUUUAUGAUCCAUAUCUCUUACAUAGACCAAAGUUUUAAAUCAAGUAAAUGAAACCCUAUCAGAAUUCACCUUUGAGCACGGGGCAGAGGUAGAGAUGGCUCCAGAGGUCACUGUGCUACUGCAGCAGCCAGCAGGAGCCAGUGUAAUUUCCUUUAAAUUCAGAACGUGUGCUGACAGCACAGGCCCAUCUGCUCACCCUUGGCUGAGAGUCAGGUUGCACAAGUAACACAAAGAUGCAGCUCCUCUUCUGCUCUGAUUGUUUUGUCCCUUCAGAUGCCUCCAAGAAUUUGUCAACUGCCCAAAAGGUUUCUAACAAUCUGAGAAAAUAGGCAAUGAAUACAGGGGGACAGAGAGGCAGAUUAAAAAAGGAGGAGAAAAGCCAAUAGUUUGGGAUGGAUGGAUGGAUGGAUGGAUGGAUGGAUGGAUGGAUGGAUGGAUGGAUGGAUGGAUGGAUGGAUGGAUGGAUGGAGGCAGGCUCUGGUGGAAAGGCCAGGAUGUUACUGAGCUGGGGGUGGAAAGGCAGUGAUGGUGAUUGUUGUAUCAAUAUGCACUUGGAGCCAUGCAGAUAUCCUGAUGGACCUUCAAACGUUUUGGGCAGUUCUGUGGUGUUUGCAUCUGCUGUGAACAAGCCCAACUCAUUCCCCAUAACUGCUCCAUGUGCCACAGAAGAGGCAGUGUCCUUCAUUCAUCCUUGUUCUGUGCUGCUUGGAAAUCACAUUCCAAGGUGAGGAAUUCUUUGUGUCUUACAGUGCUACAGCUUGGCGGCACCAAACUGGCUGAGUAUAAAGUAUUUCAGUGCAGUAAUUAGCACGGCUUUGUUCAAAAAGGUUUUUUCUGCAGAGGAUAUGAUGUAUAGAUGACCACAAGUAAAGAAGAAAAAAUAAUAUUAAUACCUUAUUUUUAAGGAGGGAAAACACACAUGGGAAGCAGAGUAACAGUUCUGAUCAAUAAGGGACAGAGAAAAUGUGUGACAAAAGAAUUCAGCAGAAAGUCACUUUUGGCAAGUGAGAGAGGCAGAGACAAGCGAGCAAAGGCCCUACAGACACUGGGAUGUGGAUGUUGAAAACUGAACCAGUGAAGAAAUAAACAAGGGUAGGUGUAAACAUGCAGGAUUUGGAUGUGGAGCUAUCAGAGUUUUGAGUUAAAGUUCCAUCUCACCAUGCAAGCUGGGCAGGAGUUGGUGUGCAUGUGAGUUCAGCCUUCCAUGGACAGAAACAAAGGGAAUAAAGAGGACUCUGUCUCUUUGAAGCAUUUGGGAUGCACCCUGUGGUGCUGAGGAAUAAAAAUAAGGAAUUUCAAGGUAUCAUUAUGAUUAAAUGAAUGGAAGUAGUAUGGAAGGGUUUUAAUUUGCAGCUUAAUUUUACAAAUGAAACAACAAAUACAAAACUGCAGAGGUGGGGGAGGUUGUUUGUAGGGUUUUUGUUUGCUUUAGAAAGGAUAUUUUCUUUCCCCCAGUUUGGGCUACAGAUGGGUCUUGUGGGAUUUGUUUUCUGACAUACAGGAGAUAUUCAGGCUUUCAGAUUUCAUUACCACUUUCUUCAUUGCUGUGCCUUGAGGAGCUAUAAAUAACACAUGGCUAAUUUGUGAAUAUGGCACAUUCUAGGGGAUGUGUGUAUUUUAACCAGGGCACCUUCUGACAUUUGGUAAUUGGUUUGCAGAUUUGUUAUAUAAUUUCAUGAGCAUUAAGUUGCUAAGAGGAAAAAAAAUCUAAAUUUAUAUGAUCCAAAAUCUGCCCUCAUUGCACCCCUACAGCAGCUGUGUUCCUUCCAGGUCUGAGGACAGAUUUUAAAGUCAACGAGCACAUCAGCUGGCAUCUCUUUUUUCAUUUCUUGCAGUUUUAGUAAAGCAGUAGUUACAUUCUUCACAGCAUCUUUCUUUUAAUUAAAGUUUUUCUCUGUGUGUGUAUAUCACUGAACAGCUCCUAAGAUGCAGGCAGAUUUUGUCUGUUGAGAAAUGAGGUUUUGUUGGAAGGUGCCUGUUUGUUAUUGGGUGUGUUUACUUUCUUUAGAGCAGUGAGAAGUUUUAUUGUUUAAUAUUGUUUGGGUUCUAUUGUUUAAUAAACAGGUUUCUUUCCACUUUUUUCUCCAAGGAGAUAUUUUCUCCUGAACCGGUUAGAGGGGGAGGAGCAAUUGAAUCUGCUUUUGUAGAGAAGCCCCUUUGGUGGUUAUCUCCCAAACUUGCCCUAAACCAGGACAGUUGGUUAGAACAAGUCACGUGCCACUGGCAUUUCUGCAGUUGGGCACUGAGAAUAUCUGCAGGCAGCUGCUCAUGUACUGCCUUCCCUUAGCUCCCCAUACCAAAUUCGCUUUAUUUCCAAAACCAGCAGGCUCUCAGGCUGUCUUGUCAUCCUGCUGUCCUGGAGCCUGGGCACCAGUCCUUGGAAACGGGCUGGGGAGUGAUUUGAGGCUUUGUGUGAGAAGAAGCACCUGUCUGAAAUAACACAUGGGAUAUGGAUUAAUACAGAAUGUUGCUGCAGUGUGAUGUCAUGGCUUGCCUCAGUUCCCUUGGCUUCUCCCUGAAAUUUCCUUCCCCAGGUGGGCUGUCAAUCACCUCUCCUUUUCCCCACCCUUGACCACUGCUGGGCACUGCUUAUCAACCCAGAAAUUCCAAGGAGAAUGUCGAGCAAUUGGCAGGUUCAAAGGAUGCUCUCCACCCCCUGGAGGGCCAUUGGCCCACCCAGGUGUCCCUCUCACCUGAGACCCCCUCCCCCUGUGCCUGGUUGGUGCUCCCUGUGUUCCCUCCCCUGCCCCUCUCCCCAGGUAAAAGGACAAGCAGACCACGAGGUGGGGGUCUGGUGGAGAGUUCUGGUGGGAGGGUUCAGCAGGUUGUUGCAAGAUUCAGAGGCCGUGCCACCAAAAUAAAAACUCUGGAUUAAGAACUCUCCAUCAGGACCCAGUUCUUUCUUCACCUCAAAGGUUUCUCCAGCUCAGGAAGGCCUGAGGAGUGCCCCCCUCAGCAGCAAGCUCCAGCUGUAAGCUCUGGAGUUCAGGGCAUGCCCGACUUGUCCCCACGUGCCCAGCUGUGACCACAGGCACUGAACAGUGUCUCUGGGGAGGAAGGACCACGGGUGCUGCUAUUUGGUCAGCAGCCAAGGCCAGACAGACCAAGGCAGUCCUGUCAGUAAUAUUGGCAAACUCCAAUAGAACGUUAUCUUCCAUUUUUUGUAUUGCUGGAAUCAAAGUACAGAGAAACGGAACAUUUACCUGAUUUCCAAGCUGAGUUGUCAGUGUUUGUUUUCCCCCUUGCACAGGAGAAGACAGCUCUGUCUGCAUUUCCCAAGCGCCCUGGCUGCCCUGGCUGUGCCAUUCCCACCCGGCUUCAGGGCAGCUGCUGCUGGGGGAACGCUGCGGCUGCCAGAGCUGGGACUGCUCAUUGCUGUCCCUGCUCCUGGGACAAAGGCACCAUCAGCUGGGAGGGGCUCCUGGCAGGAAUCCCUGCCUUGCAGUGACCCAGCUGUCAGAAACGGGCCCUGCUUUGGAGCAGCCAUGGCUCUGUCCCCCACUUGCAGUCAGGCCUGGGUCAUGCCGCCAUUUUGUGUCAGACUUUGGCAUCACUCUGCCAUUUUGCGUCAGGCCAUGGUCACUCUGCCAUUUUGUUGCAAACCAUUAGUUACUCCAUCAUUUUUUGUGUGGACAGAGGCUGAAUAAGGCUCAAGGGCUGAGGUGUCUUGUAAGACACAGAACAUCCUAGAGCUGCUUCCCCAGCUUUCCUUUGGCACACACCUGCCAUGUUUUUGCUUCCCAAGUGAUAACAUUCUUUACAAGCAUGUUUUUCUGCAGUUUCUGUAACUUUUGGACUUGAAUCCUGGCAUGGGAACAGUGAAUGGCCUAGACACUGAAGUGAGGUCCAUGAUCUGGGAACCUGCACAGGGAUGUGUGGGCACUGGGGACUUGUAACCUCCAUGCUAUCAGCUGUGGAUGAUGGAUAAGAUCAGACAGUUGGGGGGUGGGGAGAGAGGAAAGCAGAUCAGCCUGGAUCUGGAAUUCUGAGGACUUCUCUGCUUCCAUUACAUUUUUCAAGUUCUUCUACUUAACCAGUGCAGAAUUAGCACAUUUAGAGCUGAUGCCUUGUAAAAAAAGAAAUAUGGUAGAAGUCCACUAAAAUGUCGCAAUUUCAUCUUCCUGAUCUGGGUCUGGUUUUGUUGCAGCACGGAUCCCAUCAUCCCGAGCUGCAGCACUGAGUGCAAAGGUGAGAUCUGCCUGCCUGGCCAAAUGUCCCUGCUGUCCAUGCGUGGCUCUGGCUGCCCUGCAUGUGAAGAGCACAGCCACUGUGGCUUGUUUUGACAUUUGAAAUGCUGAGCACCUGCCAGAGAUGCUGCCGUGUGUCACUGCAGCAGGGACUGAGGCAGCUUGGGCUGCAGGAGGCUGCCUCAGACCAGGCAAGGCACCAAAAUCCUGCGUUUCCAGAGCUUCACCUCUGCUGGCACGUUGGAAACCCUCAGAGGCUCCAGCUUGUAUUUGCCUUCUGCAGAAUGCUGCUGGAAUUGGAGGACAUUUUACAUCAGUGCAUCUACCCCUGAGCCAGGGGGAGGGAUGAGGGUGCCUGGAGCACUCGUGUUGCUGCAGGGCAGGGACACAGAAGGGGCUCUCUCAUUCCCACAGGGAAGGUGAGUGACUGCAGUGCUGUGCAGUAUUAGCCCAAGAGAAGUCACAGUUAUUUUCCUGUUGCUACAUGGAGAUCCUUGAACGUGUCUGGAGCCCGUGGCUUGGGAACAAAUGGUGUUUUUUCAGGUAACAGCUUUCCUGCUGAGCCAAGCUCCUGGCUGCUGUUGAAUUCUGGAGCCAGGCCCUGCUCCCUUGGACUGAAGUGUGCUGCAGCCCUGCCAGCAGUGUGGGAGCCAUCAGCUCUCCCAGAUCCUGGUAUGUGUGGGCACGUGGGGCUCUUCCCAGAGGCUGUUUCUUCCGUACCAGGGGCUCCCUCAGGCUCCCUGUGAUGUGCUUCUUCCCUCAGGAGGGUGUCCCCUUCAGAAGGUGCUUCACUGCAGUGCAGACAGGCCUUUUCUGGGCACACUGCUGUUACACUGGCUCUUGGUCCCUGCUCACAGGGUUGGGGUUGGUUUUUAAUGAGUCCAGAGAAAUUCCAUUAAAAACGUCAGUCUGGGUUUUCUCUUGAGGAAAAGGCACUGUUGAUAACAAUGCUUUGGAAACUGUUUUUGUCAGUUUUUUUCACCUUUGAAGAUGUCCAAGCAGUCACUGAGGAGUUAUCCUGGGCUGGCCUCAGCUGUGCAAUGCUGGAACUUGAAAUACUGUGGGGUUUGGUACUUUUUACUGCAUGUGGCCAUAAAACAGAGACUUUCCCAUAAAGUAGAUUAAGGAGGAUCUUUGAUACUUCCAUUCAAAGAACAGCUCUUCCAGAGGGUGAGCAUUAACAAGAUGGUAGUGUCACAUUUUCAUGACAGGGUUCUGACUGAGCAGAUCAUUAGGGAGAAAGGAUCAAAGCCACUUCCUCCUGUAACAUUUCAGGUGGACGUGAGUGUGGCGCUGGCAACCAAGCUCAAGUAGCAAACUCCACAGGAGGGGAAGCUCACUCCUCCCACCCAUCCAUCCUUUAAAUUUCCUUCCAGUGAGUCACAAACUUCUGGAGUUUCAAAGGAGUUAUGUUUUAAUCCAACUUCAAGGGCUGAUAUAGCUCUGAUGAGAGACCUGGACAUCAGAAGAGAUGUUAGCUGUCCUUCAUUGCUAGGGGGCAAGACCCAAAUACCGUGUUAAACAAUUAAGUGUUUAAUUCUUACUGGCUUUCUGGUAAUCGCCUUGGUCUGGAAUUGCUUUUGGGUUUUUGUAAGCGUUACUUAUCUAACAAAAAAAAGAAUAAAUGGCCUAAACAUUUUUAGCCAGUGCAGUAAAUCAGGAAGUUUUACUAAAGUAGAUUGGUAAUUUAUUUAAUUCUAAUUUAUUCACGUAAUUAAAAAUUCUAAAUUUUACCAAAUUAGAAAGCUGAUGUAAUGUGUAAACCUCCUCUGCUCUGUGUCUACAGGUAGGACACUCCGUGCUUUCUCCCCUGGCUACAGAAUAUGUAGCCUGGAGCCCGAAGGCACAGGGAGCUCUUAGAUCCUGGUCUCAGGGUGUUCUCAGGCAGGAGAGGCCCUUCCACUGCUCCAUGAAAUCUGUUGAACUUGUUGGAUUGCCAUCACUCACAUUGAUCUCUGAGUGGGAGCAGCUCCUGUGCAGCUCAAAGGCAGCAAGAGCUGCACCCAAGCUCCCUCAGAAGGGUGAGGCUGGCGAGUGGCAUUCCACAUGGAGCUGGCUGCUUGUGGCUCACCUUGGAGCUCCCAGCUCUCCACAGAUCCAUCACUUCUCCUGUGGUGGGUGACACUCCUGAUCUGGGCAGCACUCGGAGACUGACGGCUGCAGCCCAGGAUGGUCCCUUCCUACCUCGGGAAAACAUUCCACAGGAGGGCAGCACGUUCCCAGCUGGGUGGUGUGGCUCCACCUGGAUUCCCGCUGGAGGAUCCGUGACUCUCACACCGCUCACGUGGAGACCUGCCAAAGGAAAGCCUUGCACCUGCCAAUAACUUGUGAAGAGCGAGUCCUCAUUUCUGAGAUCCCUGCCAGGAACGGGAGAUUCACCAAGAGUUUCUAGGUUCCUCAGACAAUCAGAAAAUGCCCUGAGCCCCUUCUGCAAUGGAUGUCUUCCCGAGGAUGAUGUGUCACCACCUGAAGACUGAUCUCGGGAGGGACAAAUCACUUCUGCAGUGAGUCCUGGAGCUCCUCUUAACAAUCAGCAUUCCUGGUUCCCAGGGCUCUUCCUUUUCACUAAGGCCUAAACACACCAAGUCAUCCCUGCAUGCUCCCUGCAGUAUUUCCCUGUCUCAAGACAGACAAAAGGAUCAUCAAAACAUUCUGAAUUGAUUCAGCAUGAGGUAACAAUAGACGUUUUACCCCAAAGCACCAUGCCAAAGGCAGUGUCUGAUUGCCCAUUUCUGAGGGACUCCAGAGCAGGGCUCAGUGCCUUGUUGCAUCCAUUUAACUUGAGGUUCCUGGAUGGACUCCAGGGCCACAGGGGUCACUGACCAUGUGCUGUACAGGGGCUGAGUCUAAACGAUCUGGUCAUCUCGGGCCCAGAAAACCUCUUACUCUGCACCAUCCUGGGACCUUUUCCUGUGCCACUCAUCUGUCUGCACUCGGAAGAGGCUGGCACGUGGCUGAUUUUAUGGAGGGCAUGCUGCAUGUCCUGGGAUCAGCCUUGAUGUGCUGUGAUUCCUUCUGAAGUGGUUAAAGCCCUGCUAGAGACCCAGUCCAGGCUUCACUGGCCCUGGGAGGGGCCUCUCUCUUAGAGGCCCUUGCCCGGCUGCUCUGUCUGCAGCUGCUCAGCAAGCACGAGGCAGCGAUUACAGACAGGGCUGCCUGGCACCCAGCCUGUGCAGGGGAGGUGGGGAGAGAGAUUUCAGAGACACCAUUCACCAUCCACAGAGCACAGUAAAACACCUUCUCUAUUUCUCAUUUUAUUGGCGCUGUCUGCUCUCAUCUGGUGCCUGAGCAUUUUAUCUGUUCACACUGCUUUUUUCUAUGCAAUAAAAGCAUAGACAGGUUUUUGCACUUUCUUUAAAAUAUUUUGCCACAUUUAGAGGUAAAUCACAGCCACUUUGUGUGCUGUAUAUUUUCAGACUCAUUGGAGAUGGAAAUGCUUUGAUAGCAAGGGUGCUCUACAGGGUCCAGCCACGGCUGGACAGGAAAAGUCUCUUCCUCCCACCUUACUUUUCUUUGCUCUGGUAUAAACCUGUCCCUCUCUCCCCAUCGCUGGGAGUCAGGCAGCCACAUUCCUUCAUGCACAGUGAAGGAAAGAAGGAGAGGAAGAUCUGGCUCCCAGUCCCUCCACAGACAGAGUUUGAGUCAUUUACAUGAGGAAUUCAGCGAGCAGAGAUCUUCACUUUGAUCGGAUCUGUCUUGUCAGAAACAAGCUGACACUCUGGGCACCACAACAGAUCACAGCAACUACAACAAAAAGCAGCGCUCUGCCAGAGCUGCAGGCAGGAGUCUGCCAGGGAGAAUGAUGGAGCAAGAAGGGCGGUGCUCAACAGACAAAGGGGGAAGGAAGGAAGAGUGAGAAGUGUAAGAAACUGGAAGAGACUUGAAGGGACACAGCACUGUUUAAUGGGGCAGAAACUGAGAGACGAGUGAGCUGCAGCGCAGGGUGAUUUGCAUUCUUCCGAGAUGAUUUGUAAAAGGGGAAAAGUUGUAAAUGAAACACUUUGAUUCCCCUUUAUCUCACUCUGCCUGCACACUGGAGUCAUUGAUUUUAUGCAGUAACCUCUACUGAACAGUCAGGGCUGCAGCAUAAUUGUGUUGACCUGAAAUUAAGGCAAAAAGCUGCAUCUCUGGGAUUUGGAGCUCAUACUACCUAAUUGGCAGAAGGGCAAAAUAAAGAAGUAAAGAUGAAUUACAGCUUUUCAUGUCAUGUGAAAAAUCAAGGCUCAUGCAUCAGGGAACUUCAGAGCAAUCAGAUUCAUAUAAUUUCAGCCUAUGUCUCAAUCCUAAAAUUGCAUUAAACUCCCUGUUUCUAACUCUCAUUCAGUGGAGCUUAGAUGAACCUCAGAUUUUAGGUGUUGCCAUGAUAGGAGCUACAGGAAUUGAUUUCUUUGCAACGUCAAGUGCCAAAAAUGGCAAAUAGUGGCAGUUUUGGGGCUCUUUCUGUUUCCUGUCCCUUUUAUUCCUUUCUAUCCAAUGUGGCAGAAAUGCAAUCUAAUUGAGAAGCAAUAAGGCGACCUCCAUUGAGUUAGCAAGUGAGGGAAAAAACGUUAAUAUUUCAGGCUUUGAAGGAGCCAAUACCAGGAGAAAAACUGUGCCUGCAAUACAAGAGCCCAAAGUUAUCAACUAUCCCGAGAGAUGUUUUUACAAACCAACAAAGAACACAAAAAAAGAGCAUUUCUCUGGUCUGUGUCCCUAAGAUGGGAAACUGAAAAGCUGCGAGUAUGGAGCAGGUAGGAGCUGGCUGUCAGUGGAAUGUCAGCUUCCAGCAGAACAGCAAUAACUCAGGAGUCUCGGGAUGAGUCUCUGCUGCCUUGUUCACCGUGCAGUGUUUCACUCAAAGCCCAGAAGGAGCAGAGUUUCCAGCCAGGCACAGACACCACAUCAGGCUGUGCAGAAAGAGGAUUGCAGCAGAAAUGGGGCUUCACCAGAUCUAUCCAAGACCCAGAACUGACACCAGAUGAGGCUCAACUUGAAUAAUUGUCUCAGUUCCUUCUUUUGCCCUCUCACCCCAAAUAUGUUUGUAUUUUGCUUCAGCAUGCUUCUUUAAAUCCUCAGAGGAUCCAUCUUGGAAGCACUUCCAGGAUGGAAAUGUUCUGACCUUUAGAUGGUGACAGGUGAGGUGCAUAUUCUCAUGUUCUGUGUCAUUGACAGUAAUGGCAGUGCUUCUUUUUUUUUUUUUUUGGUGACCAGUGUAAUUUUUACAUGUUUGUGUCACUUCAGUAUAUAGUUACCCUCCCAUAAAACAGAAUGUAUGUGCCAGUGCUUUCAUUCCAGGGAUGCAGAUGCAGUACCACACAUUGAUAAGCACAUGACCCCCUUUAACCCAGUGUCUGCAGUGUCACCCAUCCAAACUGAGCAGUGCACAGUCCUCUGCAGCACGAGGCCAUGGAUUUACCAUGGAGGCAGGAGCCCACGCACGGCAGGACUGGGAAGGCAGCUCCUGUCUCCUGUGCUCAGGGCUGAUUCCUUUUCCAGAUCAGCUCUGUGCUGGACCUUCCUCUGCAGAUGCUGUGGCUGGUGCCACCUGACGUGUGGCAGCUCCUAAGGGGGAGUCUCCUCUGAUGAGGACUGCACAGCACUGCCAGUCGGCCCACCUAGCACUUGGACAAAAUGUGGGACUGAACUCCAGAGGUAGGAACCAGCUCUUCAUUAUUUCAUUGUCUGAAACUUUUUCCUCGGAGCGUGUUCAGGGAAGGAUGGGACACAGACCUUUUUACCUUUCUGGUUUUGUCUCUUUCCCUGGUACAUCAUAUCCACCCCUUCCAUAGCUGAACCAGCGGGUCUGUACUUUCUGAGAGGAAUUCAACAGCAAAAUGUUCAAUCUUUUGUCCCCCUAGAAACAGCACCAGUUUUUGGAGCAAUCCAUCUGAAAACAUUUCUGUCAAAUUUUCCUUUUAGUUCUUGAUCCUGUCAGACACAUCAGACUGACACAAACCCCCCUAAGUAACGUCCCCAGCCUCGGUGGAAUGGCUGAACUCUCUGAGCUCCAGCCUUGCACUAUUGCAUGAUUACACUGCAAUUACAGAUGUAAUUGUGGCAGGCUCUGGGCCACUGGCUCUGAAUCCUCCUGCUCAGGGCUGACCAUGGCAUUUGUCUGUACUUUCCUGUCCCUGGGGCUGAUCACUCCGUGCUUCCUAAGGGAGCAGGCGCUCAUUCUCCAGAGCUCCUUGGAGCUGAGGGUGCUUGCUCACACUGGGAGAGUUGGUGAGUGAGACUGAGUUAUGUCUGCAGGAGCAGGUGCGCUGCUGUGAUGGAAACUUCUGUUCCAGCACACCUCCUUACAGAGAGAAAUGAAGAGAGAAAAAGGAAAAGGAGUUAAAAGGCAGAAGGCAGCAUUUAAAUGCCAGUGUGGCAACCAAAGAGGUAAGGGAAUGAAGCCCCGAGAGGGGGGAGCAGAGGAAGGUCACUGCUGCCAGGGACAGCAACAUCAGGUGACCGCGAGCACAAAUCAAGAAUUCUGCAGCCAGGAGUUUUACUCUCACCCUUUGAUUUUUUUUAGCACAAUUGCAUUGCAGUUUAUCCUCGUGGCCAUUGGAAGGUUGGUCAGGGGCCAGACUGCCCUGAAGGGAGAACAUUUUAAUGUGUGCAUGCAGUGGCUGCUCAGAGGCACUGCCAGCAUCAGACCUGCUCAGAUCAGCUCUCUGUGCUGGGAUGACAGCAGCAAGCCAAGAGCCACCUGAGGAUCUCUUCCACCUGAGAUGCAAAUACCCUCUCCUCCCUUUGCCUGUGCAAUCCUAAAGCUGCCACGUACAUUCCCUACAUGGGGCUUGGACACUGCUCACACUCGGAUGUCACGGCAUUUUCUGUGCUUCCAGUGGCCAGGUGAGAACAUUUUGGCUUUAAGUAAGAAGAGACAUUUCCUAGGAACUGUGAGGAGCUGCUUCAGACACCAAACAAACGCUGACUGUACGUGUCUACCCUGGCAGAAAUCAGAGCUGACCUGAAGGUGCUUGCUAGGGAACGUGCCCAGGUUUACACCUGGGACACCAAGGGCACUUCCAGCCCCUUGUGCCUCCCUGCAGCAAAGCUGAUGUGGCACAGAGAGCACUCAGGCAAACUGCUGCUCCUGUUAAUCUUAGUUCUACAGAACUGAACCACCGGUAUCCCACAUUCUGCUUAACUUCACCUCCUCUGGAGUUUUUCUGGAGUGUGCUGCACUGCGUUUAUUUUCUGGACAGACUCAAUUUUGCUGGCACAGGAUGUAAAAAUAAAGAAAGCUGAUGACAGAAGAGCAGGAAACAAAUGACACUUGUCAAUGAUCAAUUUGGCAUUGAUCCUUGAAAAGAUGGACAAUUUUCUGCUCAGUAUAAAAGGCAUGUGUCUUCCUACCCAAAAGCUGUAAUUUACCUGACAUCUUCUACCAUCCUAAAGCAGAGCAGUAAGAUGCAGCCAGAAGCAGCAUGGAAAACCAGCCAGCCACAGCACAGCCUCUGCCCAACCCAGGGACGGGUCCAGAAUUGGCUCCUAAGAGAGAUCUGGAGAGUUUAAGGCUAAAAUCACCCUACUGUGAGGACUGGCCUGCUCUCUCCCAGCCUACAGCUCCCUUUUUAAUGGGAAUUCACUGGGCCAUGGCAGAAAAUUCUGUUUAGCAAGUAUUGACUUAUUUUUCUCCCCUGCCCAUGAACACCUGAUUGAUUUGUUUUAAUUCCUGAGUGCUUCCUGCAUCAGCAGCACUCUGUGGUACCACCUUCAGUGGGUUAAGGACCUCUCAUUUUUCAAACCAUCACAAGAUAACUCCAGCUGCUGACCCAAGUCCUUGAACUGAGGGAAACAGGGAACAAUUGCUCCUGGAGAUGUUCCUCAUCAAGAGCUGUGGGCCAUUUAUUCUUCCUGCUCCUUAUCCCAAUCAACCUUGCUCUCAAUCUUUGUAUCCAUGCUAAUUUUACUAUGCCAAACACUCCAGUUAAACCUGCAGUGCCACUGUGGGCAUACACAGAAUAAACUGAGUUGGUUCAGGGUUUUUUCAAAGUAUUUUUAAAUUCCUUUGUCUAUUUUCCAGCUCCAGAAACAAAGAUUAGAACAACACAAAGUACCUUUUUUGGAGCUCUUUUGCCAGUGAGGUCCUGCAAAGCCUGCUCUGUCUGGAGGGCACCUGUGCAGAUUCAGUUCUGCAGUCAGGGUCACUGACAGAGUAAUCCUAAGUGACUGGAACACUGGGCAUCUGCCUUGAUCCCCAAUAUUUCCCAGCUGUGACACUGAUCUAGUCUGUCUCAGCAAAGCUCGGGCUGAGCUGGUGACAGUCUCAGAAGUGCCUGUGGUGAAUCUCCCCAGUCCCUUCCCCAGAGCCCCCUCUCGGGCUCAGUGGAUAAAGAGCAGAUUAACCUAUCACGGAUACUCUCAUCUGUCAGAUGUGGCUGCCAAGGGCAGCUUUGACCUUUAAGGCAGGAAUGUGUCAGGUGCUGUCAAAAUGAAUCAGAAACUCAAACCAGAUGUGAUGCAGCCUUUCCACGACUGGAGAGAGAUCACUCCUCAUGCCCCCCAGAAGAUCCUGUUUUCUAGAAACAGCAGUGACAAACACCAAGAAAUCUCUGCUUUACUCAAAUAUAUUUUGGUGAACUUUACUGUACUUGCAAGGAGAGGUCACAAUAAAACAAUGAGUGGUGCAGACAAAGCUCUCUGCCCUGGCAAAGGGACCCGACCUUCUGCAGCUCUGUCACCUCAGCCCUGGAAGAUUCCAGCCUUGGCACUGAGGAUUGCUGUGUGCCUCGGAGAGUUUGUCAGGUGAGCUACAGGAACUGGCAGGGAAAAGCUCUGCUUGCUCAGGAAUCACCGAGUUCCACACACCCUCAGGUUCCUGUGGACAGAAUCUGUUUCUCCAGGAACUGAAAGACUGAGCCUCUCCUUUUAUACAGGAAGCAGCACUUGCUCUUCCUCCAUUAUGUGGUGCUUGGGCAGGGCAUAGGUUUGAAAAUUCCCUCACAGAGUAUUUCUAGAAAAGAAUCUAUGAGAGACUGAAAUACCAGUGGUGAGGUUUUACCUCAUAUCAUCACCCAUCAUGAUCAAAUGGAAUGGUGAAAGGCCUGGCCUUGUCUAUCUGACUAAUUACACCCCUCUUCCAAAUUUGCUGAGUGAUCAUCUACUGUUUCCUGCUUUGGAUGAUCAAGCAUUUUAUUGAUAAAGCUCACGCAGCAUGGUUCAGAAUCACAGAGAAAUUCAAUGUCAAAUCUGAAAAUUGAAUAGGUGUCCCACAAACACCAAUCACAUACCUCCUCAUCCAACCAAACCAUGCUCCCAAGACAAUCCUCUGCCCAGGAAUAAAACAGGAGCCCCACUCCUGGAGAGGGUCAGCCCUCAGCCCAGGGCUAGCUGUGAAUUCCUCUAAUGGAACACAAAACCACAGGGACUGAUUUUCACCUACACCCAAAUUCACAGCUCUUGGGAAGGCCUGAGCUACUGACAAAUAAUUCCAACUUCUGGCACUGAUUGUGGUUCUAAAUGAACACCACAUCCCACACAUGCACAACCACCCCCCUUUGUCUGCCUGCUGCCCCUGCUCUGACUCUGGGCCAAGCACAGAAGAUGCAGGAUGGAGUUUUCUGAGCAGGAAAGGCCAGAGGAUGUCCCUGCAUCCUCAGUGAGUCAGAGUGGUGAGAUGGAGAUCACUGCAGCAUUGUGGCACUCACACAGAGCCAGGUCACCUCUGCCUGCUCAAACUGCUUCGGUCACAGCACCACUCCCAGCCCUAUUUGCUGAAAACCUGGCACCAGAGCUCACCACAGCUGGAAGAGCAGCCUGCCCUCUUCCUGCCUACCUGGAUUCCUCCCACGAACCACUGCAACAGCAGGGUCCUUGGCCCGUGCUGUUUGAAUCUUUGCUAACUGCAGCUGUCUCAAAAAUAAAUCAGAACACAGAAUAUUCUCCUUCCAAACCUGCAGCUACAAAAUAUUCUGCUGUAGGAAGCAGAGGCACCAAACAAAAGCACUGACUCAGCAGCCACUGGAGUUAGGGCAAAGUUGUGACAACAGGAAGGAAAACGAGCACCAAGAUUUUUUGAAGACAAACAUCUCAAAGCUCCAUCCUGUACACGGUUGCCCUCGCUGAUGCCAUGUUGGGGAACACAUCCCUGCUCCCAGAGGCGCAGAAGGGAUCAGCGGCAGCGCUGCCGGA